CCCCCCCCCCCCCCAAACUGGUCCACUAAAGAGAUUGGACCAUAGCGCACUGAGCAUACUAUAAGCAUGAAAGAUUCGCUAUAUAAAAGCAAUUUAGAAAAGAAAAAAGAUUUUACAUAGAAUGAUAACAUUGUUUCCAGACUAGAAGGGAAUGGUUUCAUAUGUAAUGAUUAUCAUGUGUGCGUAUUGAAGGUAAAUGGGUUUAUAGCAAUAUAAGGCUUUUUUUUUUUUUUUUUUUUUA